GUCAAUAUAGACUUUAUUUAGAAAGUUGGGUGAUGUUACUUCCUUUUUUGUUUUCUUUAACGACUUCUGUUUGAACGAGGCUAAGUGACUUAAUGCUACUUUAAAGAAUUCAAUUGUAUUAGAAAUCAACAAUUUUCGAUUGGGUGGAUAUCAAAAUAAAGAAUGUCAGACAAUUUUUCGAAUUUAUCCGCAAUAACAGUGCUGAAAAAAAUAAUUUCAAUAGAGGAUUUUUAAGGGUCAGAUAAUAUUAAGAAACUACAGAGUCUCAACAGACUUAGACAGGGCCAAUAACUAUGGCUGACUGCAGCUGCGUUCACUUACAUGACCUUGAUUUGAAAUAUAACAAAGAGAAUGAUGCAACGUUCGUAACAACGAAGGCAGUUGAAACCAUUACAAAAUCAGUAAUUGAAAGAAUCACAACAACAAUUAUUGGCAAACCUGGAAUUGGUAAAACCUCCACAAUAAUCCAUGUUGCUCUGAAAAUGAGGAAAAAUAAUGGUUACAGAGUUAUUCUGUGUCAUAGUCCAUCUGAUAUUGAAGCACAUUUUAGGGCAAACAAAACUCAAUUAUUUAUCCUUGAUGAUGUACAAUGUAUGUGGAAGAUACACAAUUAAUCAAUCCGCUGUAGAAGAAUGGAUGAAACAUGAACAAACCAUUUUGCGUAUCUUAAGUACAAGAAAAGUGAAGCUGCUUAUUUCAUGCCGAUUGCAAAUUUAUCACGAGAAACAAUUUCAGCUACUCAAAUUUUUCACUGAGAACUUCUAUAAUCUUUCUUCAGAGGAAUUCUGUCUUUCAGCUGAAAUACGACUUAAAGUUGCAAAGAAAUAUUUACCGGUUAAUGCUGUAAAACUGAUAGAUAACAAUUAUCUUAUGAAAUUUGGCAUAUUUCCUUUGAUGUGCUCAUUGUAUAAGAAUAAUCCGAACAUAAAAGUUAGUGAGUAUUUUGAAAAUCCAUACAAUUUUUAUUUGAAUGAUAUCGAAAUACUUAAAAAACAAAGCGAUAAACGCAAAUUAUGUGCUUUACUUUUGUACGUCUUACACAAUGGUUUCUUGAGUGAGUCAAAGAUAAGUACAACCAGUAGAUCCUACUAUGAAAAUAUUUUUGAUGAAAUUGGUCUAAAUCGGGGCACUCCAGUUUGUGACAUUGUGGAACAAUUGGACACACUUGACCAUACCUAUCUAAUAAUAAUCAAGUC